rnacentral:rRNA from 1 species
UACGUAGGUGGCGAACGUUGUCCGGAUUUACUGGGCGUAAAGAGCGCGCAGGCGGUCGUUCAAGUCGCGUGUGAAAGCCCCCGGCUCAACUGGGGAGGGUCACGCGAUACUGAUCGACUCGAAGGCAGGAGAGGGUAGUGGAAUUCCCGGUGUAGUGGUGAAAUGCGUAGAUAUCGGGAGGAACACCAGUGGCGAAGGCGACUACCUGGCCUGUUCUUGACGCUGAGGCGCGAAAGCUAGGGGAGCAAACGGG